rnacentral:rRNA from 1 species
GACAGAGGGUGCAACCGUUGUUCGGAAUUACUGGGCGUAAAGCGUGUGUAGGCGGCCAAGCAAGUCGGAUGUGAAAGCCCCAGGCUCAACCUGGGAAGUGCACCCGAUACUGCUUGGCUUGAGUAUCGGAGAGGUUGGUGGAAUUCUCGGUGUAGAGGUGAAAUUCGUAGAUAUUCGGAAGAACACCAGUGGCGAAGGCAGCGGGUUGGCCCUUAAUUGACGCUCAGGCACGAAAGCAUGGGGAUCAAACAGG